GGUUAAGUUAGAAAGGGCGCACGGUGGAUGCCUUGGCACUAGGAGCCGAUGAAGGACGGGACGAACACCGAUAUGCUUCGGGGAGCUGUAAGCAAGCUUUGAUCCGGAGAUUUCCGAAUGGGGAAACCCACCACUCGUAAUGGAGUGGUAUCCAUAUCUGAAUACAUAGGAUAUGAGAAGGCAGACCCGGGGAACUGAAACAUCUAAGUACCCGGAGGAAGAGAAAGCAAAUGCGAUUCCCUGAGUAGCGGCGAGCGAAACGGGACCAGCCCAAACCAAGAGGCUUGCCUCUUGGGGUUGUAGGACACUCUGUACGGAGUUACAAAGGAACGAGGUAGAUGAAGAGGUCUGGAAAGGCCCGCCAUAGAAGGUAACAGCCCUGUAGUCAAAACUUCGUUCUCUCCUGAGUGGAUCCUGAGUACGGCGGAACACGUGAAAUUCCGUCGGAAUCCGGGAGGACCAUCUCCCAAGGCUAAAUACUCCCUAGUGACCGAUAGUGAACCAGUACCGUGAGGGAAAGGUGAAAAGCACCCCGGAAGGGGAGUGAAAGAGAUCCUGAAACCGUGUGCCUACAAGUAGUCAGAGCCCGUUAACGGGUGAUGGCGUGCCUUUUGUAGAAUGAACCGGCGAGUUACGAUCCCGUGCAAGGUUAAGCAGAAGAUGCGGAGCCGCAGCGAAAGCGAGUCUGAAUAGGGCGAAUUGAGUACGUGGUCGUAGACCCGAAACCAGGUGAUCUACCCAUGUCCAGGGUGAAGUUCAGGUAACACUGAAUGGAGGCCCGAACCCACGCACGUUGAAAAGUGCGGGGAUGAGGUGUGGGUAGGGGUGAAAUGCCAAUCGAACCUGGAGAUAGCUGGUUCUCUCCGAAAUAGCUUUAGGGCUAGCCUCAAGGUAAGAGUCUCGGAGGUAGAGCACUGAUUGGACUAGGGGCCCCUACCGGGUUACCGAAUUCAGUCAAACUCCGAAUGCCGAUGACUUAUCCUUGGGAGUCAGACUGCGAGUGAUAAGAUCCGUAGUCGAAAGGGAAACAGCCCAGACCGCCAGCUAAGGUCCCAAAGUAUACGUUAAGUGGAAAAGGAUGUGGAGUUGCUUAGACAACCAGGAUGUUGGCUUAGAAGCAGCCACCAUUUAAAGAGUGCGUAAUAGCUCACUGGUCGAGUGACUCUGCGCCGAAAAUGUACCGGGGCUAAACGUAUCACCGAAGGCGCGGACUGUUCUUCGAACAGUGGUAGGAGAGCGUUCUAAGGGCUGUGAAGCAAGACCGGAAGGACUUGUGGAGCGCUUAGAAGUGAGAAUGCCGGUAUGAGUAGCGAAAGAGGGGUGAGAAUCCCCUCCACCGAAUGCCUAAGGUUUCCUGAGGAAGGCUCGUCCGCUCAGGGUUAGUCGGGACCUAAGCCGAGGCCGAAAGGCGUAGGCGAUGGAUAACAGGUUGAUAUUCCUGUACCACCUCCUCACCAUUUGAGCAAUGGGGGGACGCAGGAGGAUAGGGUAAGCGCGGUAUUGGAUAUCCGCGUCCAAGCAGUUAGGCUGGGAAAUAGGCAAAUCCGUUUCCCGUGAAGGCUGAGCUGUGAUGGCGAGCGAAUUAUAGUAGCGAAGUUCCUGAUUCCACACUGCCAAGAAAAGCCUCUAGCGAGGUGAGAGGUGCCCGUACCGCAAACCGACACAGGUAGGCGAGGAGAGAAUCCUAAGGUGAUCGAGAGAACUCUCGUUAAGGAACUCGGCAAAAUGACCCCGUAACUUCGGGAGAAGGGGUGCUCUGUUAGGGUGCAAGCCCGAGAGAGCCGCAGUGAAUAGGCCCAGGCGACUGUUUAGCAAAAACACAGGUCUCUGCGAAGCCGUAAGGCGAAGUAUAGGGGCUGACGCCUGCCCGGUGCUGGAAGGUUAAGAGGAGCGCUUAGCGUAAGCGAAGGUGCGAAUUGAAGCCCCAGUAAACGGCGGCCGUAACUAUAACGGUCCUAAGGUAGCGAAAUUCCUUGUCGGGUAAGUUCCGACCCGCACGAAAGGCGCAACGAUCUGGGCACUGUCUCAACGAGAGACUCGGUGAAAUUAUAGUACCUGUGAAGAUGCAGGUUACCCGCGACAGGACGGAAAGACCCCGUGGAGCUUUACUGCAGCCUGAUAUUGAAUGUUGGUACAGCUUGUACAGGAUAGGUAGGAGCCUUGGAAACCGGAGCGCCAGCUUCGGUGGAGGCAUCGGUGGGAUACUACCCUGGCUGUAUUGACCUUCUAACCCGCCGCCCUUAUCGGGCGGGGAGACAGUGUCAGGUGGGCAGUUUGACUGGGGCGGUCGCCUCCUAAAAGGUAACGGAGGCGCCCAAAGGUUCCCUCAGAAUGGUUGGAAAUCAUUCGCAGAGUGUAAAGGCACAAGGGAGCUUGACUGCGAGACCUACAAGUCGAGCAGGGACGAAAGUCGGGCUUAGUGAUCCGGUGGUUCCGCAUGGAAGGGCCAUCGCUCAACGGAUAAAAGCUACCCCGGGGAUAACAGGCUUAUCUCCCCCAAGAGUCCACAUCGACGGGGAGGUUUGGCACCUCGAUGUCGGCUCAUCGCAUCCUGGGGCUGUAGUCGGUCCCAAGGGUUGGGCUGUUCGCCCAUUAAAGCGGUACGCGAGCUGGGUUCAGAACGUCGUGAGACAGUUCGGUCCCUAUCCGUCGCGGGCGCAGGAAAUUUGAGAGGAGCUGUCCUUAGUACGAGAGGACCGGGAUGGACGCACCGCUGGUGUACCAGUUGUUCUGCCAAGGGCAUCGCUGGGUAGCUAUGUGCGGACGGGAUAAGUGCUGAAAGCAUCUAAGCAUGAAGCCCCCCUCAAGAUGAGAUUUCCCAUUCCGCAAGGAAGUAAGAUCCCUGAAAGAUGAUCAGGUUGAUAGGUCUGAGGUGGAAGUGUGGCGACACAUGGAGCUGACAGAUACUAAUCGAUCGAGGACUUAACCAA
rnacentral:rRNA from 1 species